AGUGAACGCUGGCGGUAGGCCUAACACAUGCAAGUCGAACGGCAGCACAGUAAGAGCUUGCUCUUACGGGUGGCGAGUGGCGGACGGGUGAGGAAUACAUCGGAAUCUACUUUUUCGUGGGGGAUAACGUAGGGAAACUUACGCUAAUACCGCAUACGACCUACGGGUGAAAGCAGGGGAUCUUCGGACCUUGCGCGAUUGAAUGAGCCGAUGUCGGAUUAGCUAGUUGGCGGGGUAAAGGCCCACCAAGGCGACGAUCCGUAGCUGGUCUGAGAGGAUGAUCAGCCACACUGGAACUGAAACACGGUCCAGACUCCUACGGGAGGCCACAGUGGGGAAUAUUGGGCAAUGGGCGCAAGCCUGAUCCAGCCAUACCGCGUGGGUGGAGAAGGCCUUCGGGUUGGAAAGCCCUUUUGUUGGGAAAGAAAAGCAGCAGGUUAAUACCCCGCUGUUCUGACGGUACCCAAAGAAUAAGCACCGGCUAACUUCGUG
rnacentral:rRNA from 1 species